GUCCUCGCAGCGCAGUGGUUAGCAUUUGUGUGCUUUUCUUCCUUCAGCAUUUCAUUUACCCAGCGAAAAUGAUUUGAAGCAGCGAAAGACGUCGGUUCGAAUCCGUCCGAGGACA